AUACAGAGGGUGCGAGCGUUACUCGGAAUCACUGGGCGUAAAGCGCGCGCAGGCGGCUUGAUAAGUUGGAUGUGAAAGCCUACGGCUCAACCGUAGAACUGCAUCCAAAACUGUCAAGCUAGAGUCUGGGAGGGGAAGAUGGAAUUAGUUGUGUAGGGGUAAAAUCCGUAGAGAUAACUAGGAAUACCAAAAGCGAAGGCGAUCUUCUGGAACGGUACUGACGCUGAGGCGCGAAAGCGUGGGGAGCAAACAGGAUUAGAAACCCCGGUAGUCC
rnacentral:rRNA from 1 species